GACCGUGUGGCGCAGCGGGACCGUGUUCGCCUCGUGACCGAGAGGUUGCGGGUUCGAAUCCGGCUGCCGUUU
rfam:Branchiostoma floridae genomic scaffold BRAFLscaffold_40, whole genome shotgun sequence.